rnacentral:rRNA from 1 species
UACGUAGGGUCCGAGCGUUGUCCAGAAUUACUGGGCGUAAAGAGCUCGUAGGUGGUUUGUCGCGUUGUUCGUGAAAACUCACAGCUCAACUGUGGGCGUGCGGGCGAUACGGGCAGACUUGAGUACUGCAGGGGAGACUGGAAUUCCUGGUGUAGCGGUGGAAUGCGCAGAUAUCAGGAGGAACACCGGUGGCGAAGGCGGGUCUCUGGGCAGUAACUGACGCUGAGGAGCGAAAGCGUGGGGAGCGAACAGG